CGGAUCAAGUUAAUAUAGAAUGGAAAGAAAAAGCAUUGAAAACAUUAAUGAAGAUUUAUGAGCUAUCGUAUGCUAUAUCAUUCUUGUGUGGUUGGACUUUCAUUGAUAUUUGACGUACAUACUUAUAUUGAUUAUUUGAGCCUUUUGAUAGCCGGUUUAUGAUUUCAUGAAAUGUGCAUCGAUUUGUCGUGGCUUUCAAUAUAAUAUUAUUAUUGUG
rnacentral:lncRNA from 1 species